UGAGGAAGAUCUAAAUCAGGGAUUGGUUCCUUACAACUUUGUAAUAUAUCCCUCUCGUCACUUAACCUGAAGAAGAAUGAUGACAACCUGCCCUGUGCCAAUACUUUAUAAAGACUAUGGGAUAUGUAUGACACAACCCAAGUUUACAAUUCUUAGUUGACUAUCAAGGGGUUUGUUGCUUGAGCCCAUUUGAGGACUGUGGUUAUUCCUGAUGAAAAGUGAUGUCUUUGUGUGCAGUUUGUAAUAACAUUAAGAGACACAACUCUCUGAUCAUGGGGAGUUUCGUAAUGAGACUCAAGGUCGUUAUCUCAGUGACUCUUCCAGGACUAGGUAUUAAAUAUCUGUCAACAAGAGGCAGAUGAACUCCUAAACAAGUAUUAAACCAUCUGCAUGAACUGACAGGGCAAAAAAUAUAAAAUAAUGUCUGGCAACUGGUCUGUGGCACUGCUAGCUGAGAUCCCCAUGGUGCACUAAACAUGGUAGAGAUGUGAGAUUGGUAUUUAAUGAUCUGGGUUACCAGAGUGAGGAAGGUAUCCUGGCUCCUGGCCCCCAGGGGACUCAACAAAUUCACAGGGCUACCUAAUGACUCUCCCCCUGGCCAGUGUUUUCCUCUACAUAGCGUCAUCUUGUUUUGUACUUGCCUUAGCUACAGUUUCCAUCCUGUGUUUUUUACACCCUAAGUGAAAACAAAGGGUUGGGAGAACAUAGAGACAGAGAAAGAGCUAGUAGAGAUUGUAAGAAAAGGAAAAGAAGCUUUAAGUUCUUUGCCUUGGGGUUUCUCUGAACAAAAGAAAGCAGAUGUAAAUGCUUUAUUAUUCAUCUAGUGCCAACUUGUACUAAUUCAAGAGAUAGGACUAUGAAUGAAUAGUGAUAUCUGAGUGAGCAGCAAGAGUGGAAGAAGAAAAAUACACCAAGUGAAUGACUGUGGGUCCUCAAAAAUGGAAUUCCAUAAGAAUUAUUAUGAAAGCAAAUUUAGAUGGUAAUGUUAGCCUUUCCAAAAACAUCAUUCUUGCAAAAGACAUUGGUAUCCUCUGAAAGAGACUGUACAUCAGGGGUCCUCAAACUUUUUAAAUAGGGGGGCCAGUUCACUGUCCCUCAGACUGUUGAAGGGCCAGACUAUAGUAAAAACAAAACCUUUGUUUUGUGGGUCUUUAAAUAAAGGAACUUCACAGCCCUGGGUGAGGGGGAUAAUCAUCCUCAGCUGCCGCAUCUGGCUCGCGGGCCAUAGUUUGAGGACCCCUGCGAGUGUACAUGUUCUUAGAUCUCAUUGGUAAUUGAGCCACUAGCUCACUAAGAAGGCAGGAGAAGGAAUGUAUGUUGAUAUUUAUUUUCCUAGCUUUCUUUCUGUUCCAGCUAAAGUUAUUUUCUGUGUCCUCAAGGGCCAAUUUGUCAUUGCAAAACUCAUGUUAACUACCAUCCAGAGGCUAUUUUGACACAGUGUAAUAGUAGUUAAUGGGAACAUUCUCCUGUUUCCUCUCCCUACCAAACACUUGCUUUGUAAAAAAUAAUAAUAAUAAUAAAAUUUUAAAUGCCUGCAGGGAAAAGUAGGUCACUUCUCAGUCAAAAAUCUUUUGAUCUCCAUAAAUAUAGUCAAUUUAUUUUAGACUAAAUUUGGAUAAAGAGGGCUAAGAUUUCCACCGGACACUCAACAUCGUAUAUCCUUAAGUGUUUUGGUUUCAGGUUUAAGGAGCAACUUUAAGAGGAGUUGCUGAUUAGCUCUCUUGCUUUUUUUUUCUUUAAAGGAAAGAGUCAGUCAUUGGAAUUCCAAUUGGAACAAAUUCAAUUUAUCUUUAAUGAUUGCUCUUAAGAGC
ensembl:lncRNA